AUGGCUGCUUUCCCUGCCCUGUUCCUCCCAGCUCUUGCCCUGGCAGCUCUCAAUGUCUGCUCUGCCGGCUUUGGGCUUCUUUCUGAAUUAACCGCUGACAUACCAGAAUGGAUCUCUGAUCUAGAGCUGACCACUGGCGCAGACUUAACCACAGACCUAGCGGCAGUCACAGAUGGAGUCUCCACCACGGAGCUGGACCCGACUGGGGACACAGAGUCCACCACAGCUGAGUAUCCGGAGAGCACACAGUCUGUCGAAUCUGCUACUUUCGAGGAGUCAGCCACCUCCAGCCUUGUGGGAGAAGCUACUGAGACCACAGUUUACUACGACACUUUUCAGACAGAGAGCUUUGAGACCUACGAGGACAAUGGAGAGGAAAUUUCCCUGGAGAUUUUAUAUGCUAAAUUAAAAAAUAUACUUGAAUAUUUAUAUCAAAGGUCCAUUCUGUUUAUUUGGAAGGGCCCAUGGUUACAAUAACAGCUUUAACAUAGAAAAUGAAGGAAAUUCUUCAUUUGCUCUGAUGGUCUCUCUGCUAUCCAUCAAUUUCUAAGAAGAUUCUAAGCUAUAGAGCAAGCCUAGCCUCAACAUAUGGGAGAAGGUGUAAGUGCAGAACUUUGAUGAACCUCACCAUGUGCCCAGCUGAGGAGACACAGCAAAGCACUGAUCCUGAGUGGGUGUUGUGAACUCUACACAGAUGAGGGAUGGGAAUUUUGUGACUGUGUCCCAUCUAAUAUAGGCUCAAUAAAUAAUCAUUUGAAUUAAAUUUAGAGAGAAGC
rnacentral:lncRNA from 1 species